UAAAAGAAUAAAACAACAUUAGCAUAACAACCGUUAGAAAAUAAAAUUCAAGUUGCUGCCAUUUGUUGAUACCUGUACAGCAUUUGCAUAUAUAAGAAAUAAAGGGAUAUAGUUUUGGGAAAUGGCCAUUAUAUAAGAAAAAUGGUAAAUUAUAAGAGUCGAUAUCAAUUCGUUAUAAUAUUUUUAAAAUAUUUUAUUUUCAUACCUCAAGUAUUAUUUUAUUUCAAUAUAGUAAAUCUGUUAUAUUUUUCAUCUAUUGAUUCUUUAAAAACUGAUGUGGUUGCCACAUUUGUGUCACGUGACUGCUAAAUUUAUGCUACGUGGCAAUUUUUUUUUAUUCAUUUAAAAAUAAAUAAUUUAAAAGUUAUUAAUUUUAAAAAAAUAAAAAUAAAAAACCAACAUAACCCAUCUUCUUCCCCGACCCCCCCUGCAACCCAAACCCCCCACCCCACCCCACCCCCACCUCCGCCGCAACCCCCACCACACCGAAAACCCAGCUGGGUUUUUUGGAAGCGAGAGUUGCAGAAGACACACAGAGGUGCCCCCACGGAGACAAGGAGAAGAAGACGGAUCGGGUCUUGUAGCUGCUUUCUCCUUCUAAGUCCACUUCUCUUCUCUCUCUCUCUCUCUCUCUCUCUCUCUCUCUCUCUCUCUCUCUCUCUUUCUCUGUCUAGAAUUCCCUUUGCUUUGACUGAGGUCUCCACUCACAAUGAUGGCAAGGACUGCUGCCACAUCGUGGAUGGUAAGAAUGAAUGGCUUAGCAGGAGGUUUCGCAACGAAAGAAUAUAUAUUCCUCUUCCGUUGAGGAACAACUGGUGCUGCUCAUUUUGUAUACAACGAUUCAAACUGUUUAUAUUGUAGUACAUCAUUCAUAGAUAAAAAAAAAAUUAAAAAAAUCCAAAACCAUAAACACAUUCAAUUGUAGUAAAGAAAAUAGAAGAAUAUGAUUUUUCAAAAAACACUAGUAUGACUGGCAUUUAAAGAAA